rnacentral:lncRNA from 1 species
AAGCUUCUCAAGCGUCUGGCGCUUGGGGUCACUGCCCUCAAGGAGGCACCUGGAGGGGGGGAUGGCGUCCACUCCGAUGGGGAAUGAGGGGGAGAAGAAGAGCAGCUGGCCAUCUCAAGCUGCACCCUCCUUGAGAGGAGGUCCGGCUUCGUUAUCUCGUUCUGAGGAAUACCUGUCCCAGAUCAGUGCAGAACUCAUGGAGGAGGCUUUGUGCACUGCUUGCUGCCACUUGAACCCUGUGCCCAUCAAAAAAAAGCAGUCACAAGACCAAGCGACUCAGAUAUCCAAACGCGGUAACCCCCUGCCUCAGGACCACCGUGUCUAGAGAACCGCUGCCCCCACUAUGCCUGGUUACAGUCCCUGACCCCUCCCACCCCUAGCUGAACUCUCCAGGAGUCUGUGCCCAUCUCAUCCAUCUCACAGCCAGCCCUAGGACCUGUGAAAUGCCCCUCUCACCCGCUAACCCAGUACCCACUCCUCAUUCUUCACCAAGACCUGAGGCACAGACACCUGCCCUCUCCCCUCUCUUCCACCAUCUCCUGCUCGGACAGAAACCGUACCUGCAGCAAGGCAUACCUCCUGCCAACUCCUGGUGAAAAGAACAUGCCUCAAAACUACUCUUUUGCCACUCGUUAACCACUUCCGUUUGUGGGGACCUCCUGGUCAUGAGCAGCAUCAUCCCGAAGCCUUCAAAGUGUUCUGGAUUCAUCACAGGACCCUCCAGCCUCAGCCAGCAAGGAUACCACCAGGAAUGAAAGUGCUUUAAUAAAGAGACAGGGUGUGCA